rnacentral:rRNA from 1 species
GGGGGUUAGCGUUGUUCGGAAUUACUGGGCGUAAAGCGCACGUAGGCGGAUUAGUAAGUUAGAGGUGAAAUCCCAGGGCUCAACCCUGGAACUGCCUUUAAUACUGCUAGUCUUGAGUUCGAGAGAGGUAAGUGGAAUUCCGAGUGUAGAGGUGAAAUUCGUAGAUAUUCGGAGGAACACCAGUGGCGAAGGCGGCUUACUGGCUCGAUACUGACGCUGAGGUGCGAAAGUGUGGGGAGCAAACAGGAUUAGAUACCCUGGUAGUCCACACCGUAAACGCUGUCUACUAGCUGUUUGUGGAUUUAAUCCGUGAGUAGCGAAGCUAACGCGAUAAGUAGACCGCCUGGGGAGUACGGCCGCAAGAUUAAAACUCAAAUGAAUUGACGGGGACCCGCACAAGUAGUGGAGCAUGUGGUUUAAUUCGAAGAUACGCGCAGAACCUUACCAACACUUGACAUGUUCGUCGCGACUCUAAGAGAUUAGAGUUUUCGGUUCGGCCGGACGAAACACAGGUGCUGCAUGGCU